rnacentral:rRNA from 1 species
CAGCAGCCGCGGUAAUACAGAGGAUGCAAGCGUUAUCCGGAAUGAUUGGGCGUAAAGCGUCUGUAGGUGGCUUUUCAAGUCCGCCGUCAAAUCCCCGCGCUCAACCCUGGACAGGCAGUGGAAACUACCAAGCUGGAGUACGGUAGGGGCAGAGGGAAUUUCCGGUGGAGCGGUGAAGUGCGUUGAGAUCGGAAAGAACACCAACGGUGAAAGCACUCUGCUGGGCCGACACUGACACUGAGAGACGGAAGCUAGGGGAGCAAAUGGGAUUAGAUACCCCCGUAGUCCCUGUCUCUUAUAC